CCUACGGGAGGCAGCAGUGGGGAAUAUUGCACAAUGGGGGAAACCCUGAUGCAGCAACGCCGCGUGAGUGAAGAAGUAUUUCGGUAUGUAAAGCUCUAUCAGCAGGGAAGAGAAUGACGGUACCUGACUAAGAAGCCCCGGCUAACUACGUGCCAGCAGCCGCGGUAAUACGUAGGGGGCAAGCGUUAUCCGGAUUUACUGGGUUGAAAGGGAGCGUAGACGGCUGUACAAGUCUGAAGUGAAAGCCCGUGGCCCAACCCCGGGACUGCUCUUGGAACUGCGUGGCUGGAGUGCAGGAGGGGCAGGCGGAAUUCCUGGUGUAGCGGUGAAAUGCGUAGAUAUCAGGAGGAACACCGGUGGCGAAGGCGGCUCUCUGGACUGUAACUGACACUGAGGCACGAAAGCGUGGGGAGCAAACAGGAUUAGAUACCCGUGUAGUC
rnacentral:rRNA from 1 species